GAUGAACGCUGGCGGCGUGCCUAAUACAUGCAAGUCGAGCGAACAGACGAGGAGCUUGCUCCUCUGGCGUUAGCGGCGGACGGGUGAGUAACACGUGGAUAACCUACCUAUAAGACUGGGAUAACUUCGGGAAACCGGAGCUAAUACCGGAUAAUAUAUUGAACCGCAUGGUUCAAUAGUGAAAGACGGUUUUGCUGUCACUUAUAGAUGGAUCCGCGCCGCAUUAGCUAGUUGGUAAGGUAACGGCUUACCAAGGCAACGAUGCGUAGCCGACCUGAGAGGGUGAUCGGCCACACUGGAACUGAGACACGGUCCAGACUCCUACGGGAGGCAGCAGUAGGGAAUCUUCCGCAAUGGGCGAAAGCCUGACGGAGCAACGCCGCGUGAGUGAUGAAGGUCUUCGGAUCGUAAAACUCUGUUAUUAGGGAAGAACAAAUGUGUAAGUAACUAUGCACGUCUUGACGGUACCUAAUCAGAAAGCCACGGCUAACUACGU
rnacentral:rRNA from 1 species